GGCCUAAGCAAUGCUCAACGUGUACUACAAGCCAGCUUGGUUAUAUUAGAGGGUGACUUGGCCACCAUGAUCAGCUAGAUCUAGGGUGGUCCGAGUUGCAGUGGAGGAGAACAACCCUUGCUUCGGAAUAUUUGAAUUAUGGUGAGUGAUGGUGUGGCCUUUCAGGCCAGGCAUGUGUUUAGAGAGGCUAAAAGAGCCACAAAUUGGGUGGCACGAUGAAUAAGGUCUAGAAAUAGUGAAGUUUUACCCUUGAUACACCUUAUGAUCUAUGAAUUAAGUUUUUGAUUAUGGAAAGGACUUUCUAAAGGUAAGAUCGAGGGCUCCAAAACCCUAUCCUGCUACCUAAAUGUUGAAAAUUGAAGAAGAAUUAAAGAUCUAUAAGUUAAUAAAUGAACAUAAAAUAAUUAACCUAAAAUAAAUAAAAGAACAAGAGAGCAAGCUAAUGUAUUAUCAAGGAGCAAGAAUUCUUAAUGGUCAAAAACAAAUUAUAAAGCUAGCAUCAUCAUUAUAUGAAUCAAUGCAAAAAUAAAAUAAAAGGGAAGAAAGACAAGCUUCUCUAGAGUAUAUCGGCAUGAAUCUGGCACACCUCUUCCUCUUGAAGGAUCUCUCGUAUCUUGGGGGGUCUAGAUUUAAGGGAAUUGAGAUAGAAGAAGAGUGGAAUAGGGGUGGUAAGAUCAAGAUAAAAGAACCUAAGCUAGAGCUCUAGAGAGAGAAAAGAAUCAAAAAAUUAAGUUGUUAACUCUUUCCUCCGAAGGAGUAUUUAUAGCUAGAGAAGAGAGAGAUCAAUGGGAGAGUUUGAACUUUUUUGAGUUAGAGCAAGGUUGAGAUGAUGCCAAGUGGCAUAUAAUUAUUGGCUUAAGGAGAGAGCAAUCGAUUAAGGCUUGGUUGAAUGGAUGAGAUUCUCUUUUCUAAAUUUGAUAGCUAUAAAUACUUCCAUCUUUUAACUACGGGAUGGGAGGUUAGUUACAACUUAAAAAUAUUAGAUUUAUAGGUGAAUUUUCAGGUAUUUUUGGGUAAUUUUUGUUACUAGGUUGGAGAUAUCCAAAAAAUAUAAAAUUUUAACUAAGACACCUAUGAGAUGGUUCUAAUUUUAGCCCAAUUUAAGCUUGUUUGACCUAUAUUUAGAAAUGGUCAAAUUUGGGCUCUAAAGUAAAUUGAACCUGGUCCAAUUGGUUUGCGCAUGUGGAAUUUGAUCAAACUAGAUAGUGAAAAGUAUACUUGGACCCUUAAAUCAUUAAUUGCGGUGAAGAUAGAAUUAGAAAGUAAUUAGGAGAUAAUUGGAUCGAGUUAGUGAAUCAGUCUUAAUCAGGUGACCAUGAGAUAACCUAUUUAGGUUAAUUUGCAAAAAUUAACCCAAAACUUGCAUAAUUGGACUUAAAAAUAGCCAAUUAAGAAUGGAAGUAGGUAAAAAAGUUGGAUAAAUUGAGCUUGAAAUGGAACGAGAUUAUAUGAAAUUGUUUGCCCACAUCUAGAUUGAUAGCCAAGAACCAUAAAUCGAUCAAUUAUAGGCCUUCUAAUGAUGUCGAUAUAGAUCGAUCGAGAAGCAACAACUUCUAUAAGAUAUCUCUUCUAGCAAUAAAGAAGGUAACAUAUAAUACAUAAGAUUGUAAUAAUACAUAAAUUUUUUUUCCCAAACAUCAAAAUUGAACUUUUAUCUUUAUUUUCCAAUCAAUUUCAUGUUUGCUUAUUUUAAAUUUCUUGUAGAUUAGUUUGUAAUUUAAUUUAUCACCAUUGCUUUCUUGAGUAGAAAGCAUAUUAGUAGUGAAAAUCCUUGAUGGUCUAAGAUGGUAGAGCCUAUAAUUUUACCAUCCUUGUCUGUGAAAGUAUAGUGGUACACCCAUGUAUUCAUCUAACUUGUAUUUAAAAUAUUCUCUUAUACCCUGAAAAGAGGCCAAGUUUUCAGGCUCAUCUGGUAGCAUUAGCAUGCAUAACUAUUUAGAUGCCACCUAGGUAGAGGAAUGAUGUACCACUAUCUGGCUAUCCUCAAGCUGACAGUCGUAUUGGUGGUGUCGCUAAUGAACAACUAGUAUCACAAGGUGAACCAGUGGGAUGCAUCCCAUAGGCUCCCCAAAGAAAAGUGAUACUAGUUCUAGCCCACUAAGGAAAGUAACAGUUAGGAAUGAUGUACCACUAUCUGGCUAUCCUCAAGCUGACAAUCGUUGUGGUGGUGUCGCUAAUGAACAACUGGUAUCACAAAAUGAACCAUUGGGAUGCAUCCCAUAGGCUCCUCAAAGGAAAGUGAUACUAGUUCUAGCCCACUAAGUUGUAACAAUUAUGAUCUUGAUUUGCGGCCUAUUGCUGCCCAUUUGCUAGAGCAACACUACUGCCCUCGAUAAUUUGCUCGUACCCUUUCCCCUUAAGCCUUAUGCUUCUGCCAUGCAUCUUCUUUCAAUGAAUACUCUUAUGUACUGAUAGUCAAUUUUAAAG
rnacentral:lncRNA from 1 species